rnacentral:rRNA from 1 species
CUGGCUCAGAGCGAACGCUGGCGGCAGGCUUAACACAUGCAAGUCGAGCGGGCCCUUCGGGGUCAGCGGCGGACGGGUGAGUAACGCGUGGGAACGUGCCUUCUGGUUCGGAAUAACCCUGGGAAACUAGGGCUAAUACCGGAUACGCCCUUAUGGGGAAAGGUUUACUGCCGGAAGAUCGGCCCGCGUCUGAUUAGCUAGUUGGUGGGGUA